rnacentral:rRNA from 1 species
UACGGGGGGGGCAAGCGUUGUUCGGAAUUACUGGGUGUAAAGGGCUCGUAGGUGGCCAACUAAGUCAGACGUGAAAUCCCCAGGCUCAACUUGGGAACUGCGUCUGAUACUGGAUGGCUUGAAUUCGGGAGAGGGAUGCAGAAUUCCAGGUGUAGCGGUGAAAUGCGUAGAUAUCUGGAGGAAUACCGGUGGCGAAGGCGGCAUCCUGGACCGAGAUUGACACUGAUGAGCGAAAGCUAGGGGAGCAAACGGG